UUUCUAGUGAACUUAUACUAGAUAAGCCCUGCCCUACGUAAUUAAGUGGCCGCGGUACAAUAACCGUGCUAAGGUAGCAUAAUCAUUUGUUUAUUAAUUGUAAAAUUGAAUGAAUGGGUAAACAAAAUAAAGACUGUCUCCUCUAUAAAAUAAAAAUUAUUCUCUCUAUGAAGAAAUAGAGAUUCUAUUAAAGGACAAGAAGACCCUAUAGAGCUUUACUGUAAAUUUAAUAAAUAAAAUAAAGUUUAGUUGGGGCGACUUAAGAUAAAAUAUAACAUCUUUAAACUAAUAAGAGUAAUAACUCAAUAAAAUGAUCCUAUUAUUGACCAUUAAACCAAGUUACCUUAGGGAUAACAGGCUAAUUAUUUUUAAGAGUUCUUAUCUAAAAAAUAGAUUGGCACCUCGAUGUUGGCUUAGGGAUACUAUUUUUCGCAAAAGAAAAUAUAGGAGGUUUGUUCAACCAAUAAAACCCU
rnacentral:rRNA from 1 species